rnacentral:lncRNA from 1 species
GAUUGCCGGAGCAAGGCCAGAGAUGGCCGUAGAACUCGAAUCAAACGAAUCCUGGGCCAAGCUUCUUCGGGGUCAGGCCUUGAAUCUUCAGGAACCAGGCAUGUAGGAGUUAUAGGAGGUCAGCAUAAGACUUUGAUGGCCUUGAAAGCCAUAGGUUCCAGUGGUUUUAGGGUGGAAAUAGAGGGAGGCAACUAAGGUUUCUGAGAGAGAGUUUGGGAGAGGAGGAAUCCAGGGGCGGAUACCGGUAAGAAAUGAGUAGGGCUUUGGGGUAUUGGUAAAUUAAAAAGGAAAGAAAAAGUGUGAGUCGUUGAUCUGUUAGAUCAACGGCUGGGAUUAAAUGGGGGACCGGGUGGAUUAUUUUAAAGGAUCAUGGGUCGGGUAGAUUUAGGAAUUGGGUUGGGCAAUAAAAAUUAAAAUUGGGUUCAAUUAGAGGUGCCAAAUCUAGCCAAAAUUGAAAUACCAAAAGGCUAACAUUUAAAUAACCAUUUUUCCCUCAUUUAUUUAUAAAAAUAGUAAAUAAUUUCUGAAAAUAAAUUUAAGGUAAUGAAAUGAUUAGUAAUAUAUAAUUAUGAAAAUAAAAAUAUUGUAAUCAAUUUUAUAAUUAUAAACAUAAUUAAAUCUUAAAAUAGGCUAAUAUUAUAAUUAUAUGCAAUUUAGCUUUAAAAAUAUUAAAUAAAUUUGUAAAAAUAUGCAAAAUUAUGCUAGCUAUAUUUUAGUAUAAAUAUGACAUUGGAUGAAACACAGGAAUGAGUUCAAUGAGUUUUUGUUUAAGAGAUGACAUAGGUGAUUUGAUAUAUGCAGAAGGAAGAUAAAUUAAGGAGGGUUCUAACAAUGAAGCUGAGGCGACAACAAUAGUAGAGGCAAUGAGAAUGUGCAAAACAAUGAACCUCCAAAAUGUUUGGCUUCAGACGGAUUCAAUGAUGCUUCAAAAGAUCAUAGAUGGACAAUGGAAACCACCCUGGAAUAUUGUGGAUGCAGUGGAGGAAAUCAACAUACUCAAAAUGGGGUGUAAUUUCAAGAUAUCUCAUAUUUUCAGAGAGGGAAACAAACUAGCAGACCACCUUGCAAAUUAUGCACUAGACAGUGGCAACAUAGAGAGUUAUGAUUUAUGGAAACUUGAUGCGUCUAGCAGAAGGUUGGUAAAUGAGGAUAAGCUACAAUGUCCAAACCUGAGAAUAAGAGUUGCAAGAAAUUAGAGAAGGAAAGGGUAGAAACAAAUGCAAUCAACAUUUCUACAACAUGCACUCACCAUGAUCGACCAGAGGAGAACAUGGAGAUAACAUUUUUCAUUAACAUUUGUUUCUUUUUUGCAGGUGCCAAAUUUAUACUGAUGUUCUUUGGUGUCAAGAACUCUCCACUCAUGGUAUUAAUGUAAUGCAUUCAUUCCAAU